rnacentral:rRNA from 1 species
CAGCCGCCACGGGAAUACGAAGGGUGCAAGCGUUAAUCGGAAUUACAGGGCGUAAAGCGUGCGUAGGCGGUUUGUUAAGUCUGCUGUGAAAUCCCCGGGCUCAACCUGGGAAUGGCAGUGGAUACUGGCAAGCUAGAGUGUGUCAGAGGAUGGUGGAAUUCCCGGUGUAGCGGCGAAAUGCGUAGAGAUCGGGAGGAACAUCAGUGGCGAAGGCGGCCAUCUGGGACAACACUGACGCUGAGGCACGAAAGCGUGGGGAGCAAACAGGAUUAGAUACCCCCGUAGUCCCUGUCUCUUAUAC